rnacentral:rRNA from 1 species
AACGAACGUUAGAGAGAUGUUUUAAGCAUGCAAGUCGAGCGGAAACGAGUUAUCUGAACCUUCGGGGAACGAUAGCGGCGUCGAGCGGCGGACGGGUGAGUAAUGCCUAGGAAAUUGCCCUGAUGUGGGGGAUAACCAUUGGAAACGAUGGCUAAUACCGCAUGAUGCCUACGGGCCAAAGAGGGGGACCUUCGGGCCUCUCGCGUCAGGAUAUGCCUAGGUGGGAUUAGCUAGUUGGUGAGGUAAGGGCUCACCAAGGCGACGAUCCCUAGCUGGUCUGAGAGGAUGAUCAGCCACACUGGAACUGAGACACGGUCCAGACUCCUACGGGAGGCAGCAGUGGGGAAUAUUGCACAAUGGGCGCAAGCCUGAUGCAGCCAUGCCGCGUGUGUGAAGAAGGCCUUCGGGUUGUAAAGCACUUUCAGUCGUGAGGAAGGUAGUGUAGUUAAUAGCUGCAUUAUUUGACGUUAGCGACAGAAGAAGCACCGGCUAACUCCGUGCCAGCAGCCGCAGUAAUAC